CGUUUCCCAGUUUAUCACGAGGAACAUCCGGUGUUAAACUUCAACGUUUCUUGGUUUAAAUUGUGGAAUUGCAAGUGGUGCUGAACCAUGUAGCCAAGAUGUGCACUACCACUACUCAUGGGAUUUUGCCCAGCAAGUCCACUAUCCACAUCAUGCCAACAAGUUGGGCCGAUAUAUUUCGCCACCCCACAGAAAUGUCAUGUGUUUCGCAUGUGUGCCUUAGGUUCAGCUAUGUUUUUAUGGAAAGUAGACAUUUUAUCUGGUGGACGAGGCCGAAUUGCCGGGGAAAGGAAGUGACAGUGUCGUGAGCCUGGCCCACCACUACUUUCAGCACUAUGGUGUCGGUGAAAAACAUGCUGAGGUUUAUUUCGAUAAUGCUGUCGGCCAAAACAAGAACAAUGCUGUGCUUUGGUAUGCCAUGUGACCUGUAAUGACAGGAUUGCAUGAGAGUGUAACACUAAACACUAUGUUGGCUGGGCACACCAAAUUUGCUCCUGACUGUCACUUCGGCAACUGGAAGGUCCAGUGGCGAUGUUGUAAUGCCGAGAAUCUUCAAGAAAUUGCCCACACUGUUUUCACCUCUUCAAAGUCCGGCCACAACAUCCCACACUUGGUUUAUGACCCUCAACAGCCAAUCACAGUUCACAGUUGGAUAUCAUUCCUAGAUACAUAUUUCAAAACUCUAAAGAAUAUUACCAAAUACCACCAUUUCUAUGUAUCAAAACAUAAACCAGGAGUUUAGUAUGCAAAGAGUUUGUAGAUUCCUCAGAAAUUGAAGUUAUUCUUUUGAGGAUGAGUCAAGAAUGUGGUUUUUUGGCUGAAAUAAAGCACGCAACGUGCCUAGAUGCUGAACGUCAAUUGUACCUUCAAUAUUCUUUUGGUCCAUUCUUUAGAUCUGAGUCAUCAAGAUCUGCAGUAUGCCCUAAACAAACUCUGUGUAAAGUCGAAGUUUACUCAUUUGUUGGUGAAAUGUCGAUUGUAGAUCAAAUGUUUGUGGCAAAUAUGAAAGAAAUGAGUAAAAAAUGGCAUUAUCACAUGUAACCAUAGCAACAGGCUGUUGUUUUAUGUAGUUCUUUUAUGUCAUUUUGUACAUAUAAUGAGCAAUGUGUACUCUUUGUGUCUAUGAAUUAGUUUAUGUA